rnacentral:rRNA from 1 species
GCGGCAGGCUUAACACAUGCAAGUCGAGGGGUAUAGUUCUUCGGAAUUAGAGACCGGCGCACGGGUGCGUAACGCGUAUGCAAUCUACCUUUCACAGAGGGAUAGCCAGAGAAAUUUGGAUUAAUACCUCAUAGUAUAGCAGUUUCGCAUGAAACCACUAUUAAAGUCACAACGGUGAAAGAUGAGCAUGCGUCCCAUUAGCUAGUUGGUAAGGUAACGGCUUACCAAGGCAACGAUGGGUAGGGGUCCUGAGAGGGAGAUCCCCCACACUGGUACUGAGACACGGACCAGACUCCUACGGGAGGCAGCAGUGAGGAAUAUUGGACAAUGGGCGCAAGCCUGAUCCAGCCAUGCCGCGUGCAGGAUGACGGUCCUAUGGAUUGUAAACUGCUUUUAUACAGGAAGAAACACUACUUCGUGAAGUAGCUUGACGGUACUGUAAGAAUAAGGAUCGGCUAACUCCGUG